CGGUAAUACGGAGGGUGCAAGCGUUACUCGGAAUCACUGGGCGUAAAGCGCGCGCAGGCGGCUUGAUAAGUUGGAUGUGAAAGCCUACGGCUCAACCGUAGAACUGCAUCCAAAACUGUCAAGCUAGAGUGUGGGAGAGGAAGAUGGAAUUAGUUGUGUAGGGGUAAAAUCCGUAGAGAUAACUAGGAAUACCAAAAGCGAAGGCAAUCUUCUGGAACACUACUGACGCUGAGGCGCGAAAGCGUGGGGAGCAAACGGGAUUAGAUACCCCGGUAGUCCACGCAGUAAACGAUGAAUGUUAGUCGUCGGGGGCCUAGUGUCUUCGGUGAUGCAGCUAACGCAUUAAACAUUCCGCCUGGGGAGUACGGUCGCAAGAUUAAAACUCAAAGGAAUAGACGGGGACCCGCACAAGUGGUGGAGCAUGUGGUUUAAUUCGAAGAUACGCGAAGAACCUUACCUAGCCUUGACAUAUUUGAAAAUCCACCAGAGAUGGAGGAGUGCCUUCGGGAGUUCAUUUACAGGUGCUGCACGGCUGUCGUCAGCUCGUGUCGUGAGAUGCUGGGUUAAGUCCCGCAACGAGCGCAACCCUCGUCACUAGUUUACUAACGGUUCGGCCGAGGACUCUAGUGAGACUGCCUUCGUAAGGAGGAGGAAGGUGAGGACGACGUCAAGUCAUCAUGGCCCUUACGGCUAGGGCAACACACGUGCUACAAUGGUUGGGACAGUGAGACGCGAUACCGUGAGGUGGAGCAAAUCUAUAAACCCAAUCUCAGUUCGGAUUGUAGUCUGCAACUCGACUACAUGAAGCUGGAAUCACUAGUAAUCGUAGAUCAGCUAUGCUACGGUGAAUACGUUCCCGGG
rnacentral:rRNA from 1 species